UACGUAGGGUGCGAGCGUUAAUCGGAAUUACUGGGCGUAAAGCGUGCGCAGGCGGUGAUGUAAGACAGAUGUGAAAUCCCCGGGCUUAACCUGGGAACUGCAUUUGUGACUGCAUCGCUGGAGUGCGGCAGAGGGGGAUGGAAUUCCGCGUGUAGCAGUGAAAUGCGUAGAGAUCUGGAGGAACACCGAUGGCGAAGGCAGCCCCCUGGGCUAACACUGACGCUCAUGCACGAAAGCGUGGGGAGCAAACAGG
rnacentral:rRNA from 1 species